GACAGAGGGUGCAAACGUUGUUCGGAAUUACUGGGCGUAAAGCGCGUGUAGGCGGCUUCGCAAGUCGGAUGUGAAAUCCCGCGGCUCAACCGUGGAAGUGCAUCCGAAACUGCGUGGCUAGAGUCCCGGAGAGGAAGGUGGAAUACUUGGUGUAGAGGUGAAAUUCGUAGAUAUCAAGUGGAACACCGGUGGCGAAGGCGGCCUUCUGGACGGUGACUGACGCUGAGACGCGAAAGCGUGGGUAGCAAACAGG
rnacentral:rRNA from 1 species